UACGUAGGGUGCGAGCGUUGUCCGGAAUUAUUGGGCGUAAAGAGCUCGUAGGCGGUGUGUCGCGUCGGCCGUGAAAACCUGGGGGCUCAACUCUGGGCGUGCGGGCGAUACGGGCAGACUAGAGUGCGGUAGGGGAGACUGGAAUUCCUGGUGUAGCGGUGAAAUGCGCAGAUAUCAGGAGGGAACACCGGUGGGCGAAGGCG
rnacentral:rRNA from 1 species